rnacentral:rRNA from 1 species
AUUGAACGCUGGCGGCAUGCUUUACACAUGCGAGUCGAACGGCAGCGCGGGCUUCGGCCUGGCGGCGAGUGGCGAACGGGUGAGUAAUGCAUCGGAACGUGCCCAGUAGUGGGGGAUAGCCCGGCGAAAGCCGGAUUAAUACCGCAUACGACCUGAGGGUGAAAGCGGGGGACCGAAAGGCCUCGCGCUAUUGGAGCGGCCGAUGUCGGAUUAGCUAGUUGGUGGGGUAAAGGCUUACCAAGUCGACGAUCCGUAGCUGGUCUGAGAGGACGACCAGCCACACUGGGACUGAGACACGGCCCAGACUCCUACGGGAGGCAGCAGUGGGGAAUUUUGGACAAUGGGGGCAACCCUGAUCCAGCCAUGCCGCGUGCGGGAAGAAGGCCUUCGGGUUGUAAACCGCUUUUGUUCGGGAAGAAAUCCUCUGGGCUAAUACCCCGGGGGGAUGACGGUACCGGAAGAAUAAGCACCGGCUAACUACGUG